rnacentral:lncRNA from 1 species
GUGUUUAUUAUAUAAGGUGUAUAGCAUAUAUGAGAGUUAUAUUUAAUAAGUAUAUUUUGAUUAUAUCAGUUUUAAAAAAGAAUAUUUAGAGUUUAUGUUUAGUUUAUAGUGAAAUUUGAGAAUAAAAUUUUAAAAAUUAGAUUUGUAAUUUAUGUGUUAAGAUUUGGUGUUUAAGUUAGAAAAUAUUAGUUUUACUGGGUAGAUUUAUAAUUUAUGGUUAGUACAUAGGGUUCAGAUGGGGUUUGAGGAAUAUCCGAAUAUGGUUUGGAGUUUAGAUAUAAGGUUUGUAAUUUAAAUUUUUAAUUUAGUGGUAGUAAAUGUUAUAAUGAAUUAUUAAAUAUAUUAAUUAUUAAUUAUUAAUCUAGUGGUGAGACUUAGUUAUAAAUAUUUCUAGAGUAUUGAAUGUAUAGAUUAUGUUUGAAGUUAAGAUUCAUGAUAAAGAGUUUGAUUAAAGAUUAAAGAUUUGUGUUUAGAAAAAUAUAGUUUAAGAUUAAGAAGAUUAAAUUUUUAGUUUAAUUUAAAGAUUUAAAGUUAUAGUAUGAAAAGAUUAGAAUUUUAAGGGUUAUCUUUAGAGUUUAGAGUUUGAAACCAUGUUUAGGGUUUAGGGGUUCAAUUAGUUUUUCUUAGCGUUAGAAAAAUGCUAUUAUAUGUCUUUGAUAGCAUUUUUGAAGCUGAUUAAGUAAUGUUUUUGGCGCAUUUUCCGAUAAAU